ACUUGCCGGCGACCGGCGCAAGGGUGCGUAACGCGUGAAGCAACAUGCCCGUAUCAGGGGGAUAAUCCAUGGAAACGUGGUCUAAUACCCCAUAGUAAUUAUGUAAGGCAUCUUAUAUAUUUAAAGCUUUGGUGGAUACGGAUUGGCUCGCGUGACAUUAGCUGGAUGGUAAGGUAACGGCUUACCAUGGCUACGAUGUCUAGGGGUUCUGAGAGGAAGGUCCCCCACACUGGAACUGAGACACGGUCCAGACUCCUACGGGAGGCAGCAGUGAGGAAUAUUGGACAAUGGAUGGAAAUCUGAUCCAGCCAUGCCGCGUGCAGGAAGACGGCCCUAUGGGUUGUAAACUGCUUUUGUAUGGGAGCAAUAAGGGCUACGUGUAGUCCGAUGAGAGUACCAUACGAAUAAGCACCGGCUAACUCCGUGCCAGCCGCCGC
rnacentral:rRNA from 1 species